rnacentral:lncRNA from 1 species
CGGGUCUCCUCGCGUGCAGCGCCUCCAGCAGCCACGCUCUUGGCCACAACCGCAGCGUUGGAACUGCGCGAGGGGGGAUGAGGGGUCCAACCUAGGAAGCAGCGCCAACCGGGCUCCCCGGGCUGGGAGGCCCCGAGCCGAGGGCGCCACCUGUGGGAUCACGCCCCUCUAGCCGUGUGCUCAGGGCAUGACAUGAGGGUAGGCAGCCUUGGCCGGGUUGCCACUAGGAUUCAGACCCGGUCUCGCUGACAUCAGAGAUUGCCGGACCCUGAUACCCUGGGUGGGACUUCCGCAUCCUGGGUUUUCCCAUCGCUAGGAAUGUUUUACUGGUAACAAUAGUUGAGUUGAGAAGAUCCAUGCUCAUCCUGCGCGUUUCAGCACCAUUCGGCUGCUAGGUGACUUACCAAGCAUUGCCUGGGAGAGUCGUCUAUCAUUUUAAGUAAACGCCUUGGGAAAAGAAGUACCAUUCAUUAUCUAUAAUUUAUAUACCAUAUCUUAAUUAAAAUGCAAAGAAGAUAUGCCUUAAGAGUGGAGACCAGAGCAUUAGGGGCUGGAGAGUGGUGAUGGCAAUGUGUGUGAGAAGGUACAGGCCUGUCACUGACCACCCACUGACCUACCAGCUGCGCAAAUACUUCUUGGCUUUUUUCACUGUGCACUGGGGAUUCUCUGUGAAUGUUUGUUUAUCAGAGAGGCGGGCUUACAACGUGUUGGUUACAUCCCUACAUUUGUUAUGAUAAUUUACGCAUUUUGGUCAGCACCAUAUUACAUCACCUCGGGGGCCAUCAGCGUUGCAGCACAGAGGAAGGGUUCACAAUAUCAGUGUGUUUCUGGCAUUGUUAUGAAUAUCUUAAGUGCCUGCUUUGCUGUACUUGGUGCAGUUGCCUUAAUCAUUGCGUGUGCAAGUUUUCAGUCAGAAGAAGAUUACACUUGGACACAGUUGGCUGGUACUAUGCUUUUACACUAUUUACUCUUCAUUGCUGUCUCAGAACUGAUCAUUGCAAGUAUAACUAUCCACUGGAUUGUGCAAGCAUUGCAGUAUCAAGAAUACGGCGAUGAGAGUUCCUCACUAUCAGAAUUCUCCAUCUCUUCAUAAUUUGCAAAGAACCGGUGUGACUCUAGUCAAGAGCAAAAGAUGAAUCGUGAAUUAGUGAAGAACUCCAUAAUUUUUUUCAAGAGGCCUGAUGGAGAAUGCAUUUUAAUGAAGUCCUUUCUAGUACUCCUUUUUCCUACUUCUUCAAUAAAGGAUGCAAUUUGAUCACAAG